GUCAUCAAGUGAUGAAGUUGGAAAAAUAUCUUAGGACACCUUCCUACAUAGCCUUUUUUAAAGGCUAUGGAUGAGAAGAAUAUUUCCUUUCUGAUGGUGAC
rfam:Gossypium hirsutum cultivar TM-1 chromosome 7, whole genome shotgun sequence